rnacentral:lncRNA from 1 species
UAUGCAGAGCGGCGGCCCUGGUUAGGAUUGUUUUCACAUAGUAUUCACUCCGGCCAAACGGUGAAAAGAGCACUAGUGUUCUUAAUUAGAUCACAUGUACAAGUGCACAAGUAGAAGUGGAACUACUUGUAGAGAUAUUAAAUGUAUUGUGUAAAUAUUCCUCUCACAGCUCUACCAGGCUUUACCAGAAUUCAGCCUACAACCGAAACUGCCCCCUUGGAGCUACCACAGCCUGCACUAUAAACACCUGAGGACGUUUUUCAAAAACCCGGCGAAGAAGAAGCAUCUUGUUGACAGGGGCUUAAUUACUGAGGAUGGACAAGUGCUGUGCUCCAUUAGGGAGUUUAACCAGUACAUAGACUAUCUAAAGACCAUCGACUCAGAAUGGGACCAAGCUCUUCAAAAACAGGAAACACCAGAAAUCACCCGGACAAUCCCCAGCGUUCAGGUUACCUGCAAAAAGGAGAAGCCGGAGAAGAAGGAGCAGCACAUUAAACCAGGCUCAACAGAUCAGACGCAAACAUUAGAUUCAUCUGUACUUACAGUAGAACCUGAUGAUGACUGUGUGAGUAUUUUGAGUCCCAAUUUAUUGCAGAGAUCUGAGGAGCUGAAGCUGAUAGACCUGGAGGAGGAAGAGCAGGAGGAGAGCCUUCAGAUCGAGGCCGAUGUUUCCGUUGAGACAUCCAUCAAGAAGAAAAUUAACAUUUCAGGACUAAUGGAGAAACCAAUAGGCACAAAACUGUUGGUGCCUGAAGGGUGUUCCAUGCAGUACUACCGGGGUAAAGUUGGAAAGAGUGUAAGUAUCUGUAUAGAAAGUAUUUUAAACUUAGUAUUUUAAAGACGUUCACACCUACAGUUUAGAAGUUUAGAAGAUUACAUAUUCCAGUGUUUGAGAUGGUUCUUGUUGGUAGAGUAAUGCUGCUGCUGCUGCAGGUGUGAA